rnacentral:rRNA from 1 species
CGGGACGGGUGAGUAAUGUCUGGGAAACGUGCCUGAUGGAGGGGGAUAACUACUGGAACGGUAGCUAAUACCGCAUAACGUCGCAAGACCAAAGAGGGGGACCUUCGGGCCUCUUGCCAUCGGAUGUGCCCAGAUGGGAUUAGCUAGUAGGUGGGGUAACGGCUCACCUAGGCGACGAUCCCUAGCUGGUCUGAGAGGAUGCCAGCCACACUGGAACUGAGACACGGUCCAG